rnacentral:rRNA from 1 species
UACGUAGGGGGCAAGCGUUAUCCGGAUUUACUGAGUGUAAAGGGAGCGUAGACGGCUUGGCAAGCCAGAUGUGAAAGGCUGGGGCUCAACCCCAGGACUGCAUUUGGAACUGUCAUGCUAGAGUGUCGGAGAGGCAGGCGGAAUUCCUAGUGUAGCGGUGAAAUGCGUAGAUAUUAGGAGGAACACCAGUGGCGAAGGCGGCCUGCUGGACGAUGACUGACGUUGAGGCUCGAAAGCGUGGGGAGCAAACAGG